CAGGAAGCACGUAAAACAGUAGAAGAAGAGUCUCGUUUUCUGUGAUUUGCGUUUUGGAUGCACGUCGUUUGCUGUCUAAUCCUUGGAGUAGAUACGAUCGAAUACAUGAGCCUGGUGAAACCAUUCGUGUGCAGCUGACUGGGAUGCACUUUGUAGUAAAUCUACAAAUGGGGCCAGAAGAAGAAAACAUAUGCUGUCUUUUGCGUUGAAGAGAUGGUGAUAAUCUCUGGAUGCUGGUCUGCGCUGCUGUGAAUCUCUGUCCUGUUGAGCUAACACCAGCACUCUACAAAGAGGAGAGGAUAGAGAGAGACCUAAGGCUGUCGGGCUAUCACAGUCUUACACAUUGCUGCUCUCAUGCACUGAAUGCAAAUUGGAUCAGGUAAUUGGGAGGCAGCUUGAGAGGGCUGCUUCAGAUCUCCCUAGCGACAAGCUCUGCUCACAAUCAUGAUUGGGCCCAGAUGGACUGUGAAGCACUUACUAUGCUUCCCACUUCACAUAACUGUCUAUACGCCCGAGCACAGGCCAGCCUUGCAUAGUUAUUUUAAUGUCACGUCCCGUACAUGUACAUGGUCACCAGGGGUCUCGUUUGACUGUGAGAAGUAUAUGCAUGUGCAUAAAUACAUGCAAAACAGACUGUGAGAAGUGCAUACAGCAGUUCACACAUUAGUGUAGUUAUUGUUAACUAUUGAAAACUAUUGAAAUUCUUAUCAUUAACUAAAAAAAGCUAAAAUGAAAUAUAAACAUUUGACAAAAAACUUUUCCUCAGCAACAAAUUGAAAUAAAAUACCCCCCUCCCCAGAUGAUGUCAUCGUCCAUUGCAAUGUUUCACUGUAGAAAUCGUCAGAUGCUAAUUUGUUAGACAUCGCCCAACCCUACGAUUAAUUCAAAAUCCUUAAUGCUUUUAAAUAAUUAAACUCAAAUAAAUUACUGAAGCACGUGAAAUUGCAUCAUUAGCUUAAUUUACAUCUUGAUGAGGAUUGCAAUCAAGGUAAAGACAACUGCGGUGAUGUACAGGAGUUUUUUUUUUUUUUUUAUGUACAGGAGUCAUACAGUGAGUACGCGUGAGUCCGUUAUAUUGAUGCGCAAAACAAAUAGUGUAUAUGCACUCUCGAUGCACUGAUCGCACGAUGUAUUUAUGCACAGACACAUUUCAGUACAUUCACACUUUCAGGAUAAUGUUUUGAUUUGUCAUCUACGUUUCUGUUUUUAGUAAUUCUGAAUGGAUCCAUGUACUGUAGCAGCAGGUGUAAGCAGUGAAGUCAAGGCGAUUUGUUUUAGGGUUUAUUUUUUGGUAUCUCCAUGUGGUCCUGUUCGGUAUCGCAACUUGACUUGUCUAAAAUGUAUACAAGUAUACAUGCUAUACACUGAAUUCUGAGCACAAAAGUGUGUUAUUUAUCGUGAUUAAAAAAUGUAAUCUAUUGACAGCACUAAAAUAAACCUAAAAUAACUGUCACACAAA